rnacentral:rRNA from 1 species
UACGAAGGGGGCUAGCGUUGUUCGGAAUUACUGGGCGUAAAGCGCGCGUAGGCGGAUCGCUAAGUCAGGGGUGAAAUCCCAGGGCUCAACCCUGGAACUGCCUUUGAUACUGACGAUCUGGAGAUCGGGAGAGGUUGGUGGAAUUCCGAGUGUAGAGGUGAAAUUCGUAGAUAUUCGGAGGAACACCAGAAGCGAAGGCGGCCAACUGGCCCGAUACUGACGCUGAGGCGCGAAAGCGUGGGGAGCGAACAGG